rnacentral:rRNA from 1 species
AUUGAACGCUGGCGGCAGGCCUAACACAUGCAAGUCGAGCGGUAGAGAGAAGCUUGCUUCUCUUGAGAGCGGCGGACGGGUGAGUAAAGCCUAGGAAUCUGCCUGGUAGUGGGGGAUAACGUUCGGAAACGGACGCUAAUACCGCAUACGUCCUACGGGAGAAAGCAGGGGACCUUCGGGCCUUGCGCUAUCAGAUGAGCCUAGGUCGGAUUAGCUAGUUGGUGAGGUAAUGGCUCACCAAGGCGACGAUCCGUAACUGGUCUGAGAGGAUGAUCAGUCACACUGGAACUGAGACACGGUCCAGACUCCUACGGGAGGCAGCAGUGGGGAAUAUUGGACAAAGGGCGAAAGCCUGAUCCAGCCAUGCCGCGUGUGUGAAGAAGGUCUUCGGAUUGUAAAGCACUUUAAGUUGGGAGGAAGGGCAUUAACCUAAUACGUUAGUGUUUUGACGUUACCGACAGAAUAAGCACCGGCUAACUCUGUG